GAAUCUUUCAGCUGUUCAUAUUUUAAGUAUUAAGUGAGUUUUAAAGGAACCUGACUGAAUUGUGCAGGUUUAUGGUCGCAGGAAAGUCUCAGUUUGUGAAUCCUAACAGACUCCUGCUGCAGUCAGCUUAUAUAUAAUCAUCUCUUAAUAACAAUAAAGAUCAAAUAUGCUUUAGGUAAAGAAAAUGUUGUACAAACAGAUUGAAAUUUACAAUUAGUUUUUAUCCCUUGAGCUUUAUGAUUAACCCUUUAGUGUGCUGAGAGAUCAAAUAUCCAUUUGUUCUAUUGCCAAACCUGUGUCCUUAAUGUUGACUCACCCUGUCCUGAACAGAGAUAAGUCUGUGGGACAUGUAAAGUGCAGGGCAUCAUCAUUUCCUCGCUCUGAAUGGGACAGCUAGUGGAAGAGGUUCUGUGAUGGAGGAAAGCUGAACUUCUGACAGCCGGCUGCUCUGGUAUAGUGGAUGAGAGGAGCAGCUCUGUGAGCUGGCAGUGUCAGCAGCAGCCAGUCUGUCUGCAGCAGUGUUGGAACAAAGGCUAGCACAGAGAUCCGCCUGAGCGCUGCAAUACUGCAGCGCAGGAGUUUUUCUUCAAAUCCAUGCAGAGUUUUGAUCACAGUUUUAAGCAGUAAGUUAGUCUGCAUGUUGUUGUUUCUCUCCUGGGUUCUUCUAAUUUAUUUUUAAUUUUUGGAAUGACCUCAGGUAAAUCCUAAUUUUCUCAAGAUUUUAAAUGGGUUUGAAUUGCACCUACACUUGUAAAAGUAAGUGUAGCUGAAAAACAAAAAAAAUUGACAUCAUCCUUUUUUCAAGUGGGAACUCAAAGCCAGUUUAGACAGAGAAAACAAAAUGAUCAGUUUAAAGGGCUGCAGGACACAACUUUAAUGGAAAAUGCAGUAGUCCAUCACUGUGCUCUGGCAGGAUACUGAACAAACUUGAGCUUAGAAGAAAUUGUCAGUACCACUUCCAGUUUCUUGUGUGCUGGUGGGGAAAGAAAGCCUCUUAUUAUUUCAGUCCUCUUCCCUGCUGCAAUAUGUUGUGCGCUUCUGCUUGUUAAUGGGUGCUGCGUGUCCUCCACAGCACUCAUAUCAUCCAGAGAUGUGCGUUGAUUCCUGGCCUAUAUUCGCCGCUGCUGUUUGUUUCCGUGGAAAACAGAAACCUCCACAAGUCUGCUGCUAAUGAGUGAGGAGAGACUAGAAGAGCAUGUCCCAUUAUGCAGAGGUACCAGGAAACUCAGAAAACUAAAGCUUUGCUUCGUGGUGUGCAACUUUGAAGUUUUCCCAAAUCCAGACACUUUAUGUGAAGCUGCUGUGAGAGCUGAGGACAGCCUGCACUCCUGAGUUUGCAGAUGGAUCGCUAAGAUGCUGCCUCUGAACCAUGGCAUUUUCUUACUAAGGGCUACCAUCCCCUGCUUCAGCCAGCAGAAAUUAACCGGGUCGCUCAUAUUCUGAUCAUUUAUUGUCAAGGAGACUCUCCUCCACCUGGACCUCCUCCCAUGUGGAUGGAGCGUACUGUUCCACUGCUGAUUUCCACUCCGUGUUUCAACAGCAAUGCACCAUUCAAGUCUGCAGCCAAGUUGACAAAUGAGCAGUGAUCUGAGCAGAGGGGGAUGCUUGCACUGCACCACAUCCUGUCCCAUCCACAUCCCUUUGCCCUGCAGUGGUUCACCUCCCCUAACUGAAGCCGUCUCCUUUAAACUGGAGAGAGCUGCGUUCAAAGUCACACGAGCAGAAUAUGCAGCAAAUACACGCGUGCUGAAUCGUGUAUUUACUGGAAUGAAGCGGUGAGCGAACUUCGGUCUUUCUGUGCCUCCAUUUGUCAGCCGUGCUCCACGGAUUUUUACGAAGUUUCAUUAAAUGUCACAGAAAAUAAUACUCCCCCCAUAUCUUUGAAUAAACAUAUUUUCUGGUUUAGUUCAUUCAAUCACACAAAAAAGAUAGCAUUUUUCCUCUAUUAAAAGCUGAAAAACAUAUUUCACUGUGACUAAAAGGCUGUAUUAAUGCAACUAUGAUGAACUUAAUUACUUUUAAAGAUUACACAACUACAAAUAUAAU